GAAAUGCGAUAAGUAAUGUGAAUUGCAGAAUUCAGUGAAUCAUCGAAUCUUUGAACGCACAUUGCGCCCGCCAGUAUUCUGGCGGGCAUGCCUGUCUGAGCGUCAUUUCAACCCUCAGCCCCCGUCCGCGGGGCGCUGGCGUUGGGGAUCGGCCGUCCUUGCGGCGGCCGGCCCCGAAACACAGUGGCGGUCUCCCGUAGACUCCCCUGCGUAGUAACACUACCUCGCAGAAGGGACGAGCGGGCUGGCCACGCCGUAAAACCCCCCACUUCUCAAGGUUGACCUCAGAUCAGGUAGGAAUACCCGCUGAGUUUAA
rnacentral:misc_RNA from 1 species